CCUCCUCAGGCACAGGGGCUAAUGGCUGUCCUAGUAGUGAUUGAGCAGGCUGGGGCUGAGAUGGACCUUCAUGCUGCCCUUGGCUCUCUGGCUCAGGCUGCACCUGCUGAAGCAGAAUUCAAGCUCGCAGCAAGGCAGGAACAAUGGGCACAAACUCCGGUGGACCCUCAUUGUCCGUCAGCUCCCUGUCUGAUACAGCGGCACCGUUGGGACCCACGUAGAUGACCGUGUCACAUGACUGCUCGCUGCUGGAAUACUCAUCCGGGUCGCUGGACAGGCGCAGCAGUGGGACGUCUGAGCCGGGGUCACCGCGGUGGUGAAAAGGCCGCAGAUGGGUGGGACGACGCAUGCGACCUUCCUCGCAGGAGCUCUCUCCUCCAGAGGAGCUGGAGGUGUACUGCUGAGGACAAAUGGCGCCCAAUAAGAAGUAAAAUUGGAAUUGGAAUCAUGCAAUUUCCUUGGCAACGUGGGGCAGAGGGCUCCACUGCUCCACACAGCUAAUGACGAUGGAUACAUUCAUUUCACAAUGAAUUCACUGUGAGAUAAAAGG